AGUCCAUACCGCCGGUCCCUUCGUUCACCUUCAGUCUACCGCCGGUCCCUUCGUUCCCUUCAGUCUACCGCCGGUCUCUUCGUUCACCUUCCUCUCCGCCGUCCUCCACUUCCAGACGUCGCCGUCCUCCACUGCCAGACGAAGCCCGCCGUUCACCUUCCUCUCUGCCGUUCGACGCCGGCACCGUUUUCCGCCGUCAGCCACCAUCCGCUGCAGUAGAGGUUUGUGUCUCGCUGACGGUUGCUGAUAGCCGCUUAUCAUAGCCAUUGUUGUCUGUUUACACCGCGUCUACCGUAUCCAUAUCUCUUUUUUAUUGCGGUUCUGCUCUUCAACAAAAAUGAAUCCAGACCGCAGUUGGAUGUAUACGAGGCAUGACAGAGGCUUCCUGCCGCCAGAUUUUUUCCCUAAUCUUGAAGAGUUCGUGAAUUUUGCCGUACAACAUCCCGAGUGUAUGAGUGGGGAAGAGAUAAAAUGCCCAUGUUCUAGGACAAAAUGUAGAAAUACGAAUUUUCGAGAUGUCGAAGUUGUGAAACUAUAUGUCUUG